rnacentral:lncRNA from 1 species
ACCCAGGUGACAUGCUGAAGGCUAUGAUUUUGUGGGUCUUACAGCAAAAAAAUAAAGUUUCAUAGUAGAUUCAGAGGGUAAAACUAUAGUUUUCUUGCUUUCUUCAGAAAAAAACUCCAAAACUCCAUCUUCAGGGAUGAAAGCUAAGCCUAGUGAGAAGCCCCUAGAAGAAGAACCCAUGGAUGAGCAGAUACCAAAGAUCCUGCAACUCUCUCCUUUUCCAAGGGACGUUACCAGCAAAAAGAGAAACAGGAGAUCAAGUUUGGCCAAGAAGAGGGCUGAAGGCAGGUAUGACACACAAGCCCUGUGCCCAUGCAGGGACUGGUGUACCAAAUCAUUUUAGACCUUUUCUAGCACUCAGGGAGCAAGAGUGUCCCCAUGGGGGGUGGCCUGACUGUGCCUAGAGCAGGUAGAAAAACAAAAUGAGGCUAUGAAGGGUCAAAACUUGUCUCUGUAGGACCCUUUGGGUCCCCAAAGUGAUAAAGAUCUCAAAAACUAACCCUAGCCUGCUAAAAAUGCCCUCUACUCCUGUGAUACUAUGUCAUGGCAUGUUGGCUUUUUACUUGCCCAACCAUAAUCCUCCAGUGAGCUGAGUUCUGAACACUACCUUCUUUCACAAAUAUUUAAGUAAUGUUGUGCCAGUUCCUUGAUAUCAUGUUUCC